rnacentral:rRNA from 1 species
AUAACGACUCUCGGCAACGGAUAUCUCGGCUCUCGCAUCGAUGAAGAACGUAGCGAAAUGCGAUACUUGGUGUGAAUUGCAGAAUCCCGUGAACCAUCGAGUUUUUGAACGCAAGUUGCGCCCAAAGCCAUUAGGCUAAGGGCACGUCUGCCUGGGCGUCACGC